rnacentral:snRNA from 1 species
AGUAUUGUGCAGUGGCAGUAUCAUAGCCAAUGAGGUUAAUCUGAGGUGUGAUUAUUGCUAGUUGAAUCUUUUCUUCAGCG